rnacentral:rRNA from 1 species
GACGAACCGUGCAAACGUUGUUCGGAAUCACUGGGCUUAAAGGGCGCGUAGGCGGGGGACCAAGUCCGGGGUGAAAUCUUUCGGCUCAACCGGAAAACUGCCUUGGAUACUGGUCUUCUUGAGGGAGGUAGGGGCAGGUGGAACUUCCGGUGGAGCGGUGAAAUGCGUUGAUAUCGGAAGGAACGCCGGUGGCGAAAGCGACCUGCUGGAUCUCUUCUGACGCUGAGGCGCGAAAGCUAGGGGAGCGAACGGGAUUAGAUACCCCGGUAGUCCUAGCCCUAAACGAUGGGUACUAGGUUGCGGACUUGACAUGAGUUCGCAGCCGAAGCAAAAGUGUUAAGUACCCCGCCUGGGGAGUAUGGUCGCAAGGCUGAA